GUGGGACCUCCUAAGAAUCCAGCUAAGAGAAAGCAAAACAAGACCCUGAUGGCAAUUAAGGAGGAAGUUGAGGAGGAAUACAGUGCUGAGAACUCAGCCAAGAUUGUUCCUGGAGGAUCCGGGGAACCGAUGAACCCCAUCGAGCAAGCUCCAGAAGUGCCGCCAGCAUCUGCAAGUGCUCCAACUGCCAAGAAUAUUCCGGUAGAGCAGGCAUUUUACACCACUAAGGCACUCAGCGACCUGAAACUGCUGUUCACACGGGUGAAAACUAAUUAGUAAUGGUGAACAUCUCUAUAAAGAUACAUUAUGUGAAGACAACUGAUGAUGCUGGUGUUCCGUUCUAGAUAUUCCCCUCCCCAUGCCUUUCGCUUAGAAUCUUCUCUACUCCCUGAGGUCAGCAGCAAACAGAUAUAGAAGUUAGACCACCGCUCCAAUUCACAAGCUAAUUUUAAAUAACACAGAGAAAAAAGAUUUGUCCAGUAUAAAAUCUUAAGGUUUUCUUAGAUUGUAGACCAGAUCAACAGGUUUCUCAGAGAAGUUUUGGAAAACUACCAUGUAAAUUUGCAGUUUGUUCAGAUGGUGGCAUCUUACUAUCUGGAGAAAGUUUUGUUAGUAGUGACUAAGUUUUUAAAAUGCU